rnacentral:tRNA from 1 species
GGAGCCAUAGCUCAGCGGGAGAGCACCUGCUUCACAGGCAGGGGGUCGUGGGUUCGAAACCCUCUAGCUCCACCA